UAUGUUAUUUCUUAGAUUUAUGCCUUAUGUAUACAUAUGAAAUAUUUUUGAAUAUGAGCAUUUGCAUACUUGUUUGUUAUGUUUAUCAUUAUCGAGUGAUGAUGUUUGGAUUAGCGAUAUUUUAAAUGGAUUGAGAUUGAAUGGAUGAUUGGUUUCGUGUUACAGGAACAAGGUUUUGAUGUAGAAGUAUACUCGAGGGUUGAUUUUGGCUCGAUUAGUAUGAUGUGGAAGGAAGAAAAGGAAGACGAAGAAGAAACAGUAUUAUCUGUAUAUCGUCUGUAAAUGACUGAACAUGCACACUUUAGCAUGGGUGGUUGUUUUCAUUUGAAUUCUUCGUUCAAGGAGAUAUGCGUGUUCUUUUUCGAAUAUAUGGCUACUUAUUGUUCUUCUGACUGUAAUAUUUGUGUUUAACUGCACAGUUGCUAUCAACUUUGCCUUUUCCUUGCGUCUCUUGGGGUUUACUUGAACAUGUUUUGGUAUGUUCUAGUCUUGCAAAUUAUGGCUUUUGUUAUUUCUACCAUUCAAAUUAUUAGCUGAGUUGGACAUUCUUUUUCCUUGUUACUGUUCAAAUUACCAGUUGAUUGGUUAGUUGAAUUAAUGUAGAUGUUAUCAGGAAGUCCAUAACUGUGAAGAAUCAUGUAGCCGAUUAUCAAAUUUGUGAAGAGUUUGUCUCGACUAUAAAUUGUAGAGAAAAGAAAUACCCCGAUAUAUGUCAAACAUAAGAAUUUGGGCAAACAAUAAGAUGAUUCUUGAGGUGCUUAUGGUACUUGU
rnacentral:lncRNA from 1 species